rnacentral:rRNA from 1 species
UACGGAGGGGGCUAGCGUUGCUCGGAAUCACUGGGCGUAAAGCGCACGUAGGCGGCUUUCUAAGUCAGGGGUGAAAUCCCGGGGCUCAACCUCGGAACUGCCUUUGAUACUGCAAAUCUCGAGUCCGGAAGAGGUGAGUGGAAUUCCUAGUGUAGAGGUGAAAUUCGUAGAUAUUAGGAAGAACACCAGUGGCGAAGGCGGCUCACUGGUCCGGUACUGACGCUGAGGUGCGAAAGCGUGGGGAGCAAACAGG